rnacentral:rRNA from 1 species
GACGAACGCUGGCGGCGUGCUUAACACAUGCAAGUCGAACGGAAAGGCCCUGCUUUUGUGGGGUGCUCGAGUGGCGAACGGGUGAGUAACACGUGUGUAACCUGCCCUUGACUUUGGGAUAACUUCAGGAAACUGGGGCUAAUACCGGAUAGGAUCUCCUGCUCCAUGUUGGGGGUUGGAACGUUUCGGCUGUUGGGGCUGGGCUAGCGGCUUAUCAGCUUGUUGGUGGGGUAGUGGCUUACCAAGGCUUUGACGGGUAGCCGGCCUGAGAGGGUGACCGGCCACAUUGGGACUGAGAUACGGCCCAGACUCCUACGGGAGGCAGCAGUGGGGAAUAUUGCACAAUGGGCGGAAGCCUGAUGCAGCAACGCCGCGUGCGGGAUGACGGCCUGCGGGUUGUAAACCGCUUUCGCCUGUGACGAAGCGUGAGUGACGGUAAUGGGUAAAGAAGCACCGGCUAACUACGUG